AUACAAAAUUGAAUUAUAUAGAUUGAAUGAUGUGAAUUAUGCUGU
rnacentral:guide_RNA from 1 species